UCUCAAGAAUACCCCAGCCUUCUUUGCAGAGAGGCUCAACAAGGCCAUGAGGGGAGAUACUUCAGGGGAUUACCGGAAGAUUCUGCUGAAGAUCUGUGGUGGCAAUGACUGAACAGUGACUGGUGGCUCACUUCUGCCCACCUGCCGGCAACACCAGUGCCAGGAAAAGGCCAAAAGAAUGUCUGUUUCUAACAAAUCCACAAAUAGCCCCGAGAUGCACCGUCCUAGAGCCUAGGCCUGUCCUCCACCCCUCCUGACCCGUAUAGUGUGCCACAGGACCUGGGUCGGUCUAGAACUCUCUCAGGAUGCCUUUUCUACCCCAUCCCUCACAGCCUCUUGCUGCUAAAGUAGAUGUUUCAUUUUUCUGACUCAUGCAA
rnacentral:sRNA from 1 species